rnacentral:rRNA from 1 species
UACGUAGGGUCCGAGCGUUGUCCGGAAUUAUUGGGCGUAAAGGGCUCGUAGGCGGUUCGUCACGUCGGGAGUGAAAACUCGGAGCUCAACUCCGAGCCUGCUUCCGAUACGGGCAGACUAGAGGUAGGCAGGGGAGAGCGGAACUCCUGGUGUAGCGGUGGAAUGCGCAGAUAUCAGGAAGAACACCGGUGGCGAAGGCGGCUCUCUGGGCCUUACCUGACGCUGAGGCGCGACAGCGUGGGGAGCAAACAGG